rnacentral:rRNA from 1 species
AUGGACUCCCCGCAAAAAAGGGUUGGAUCCACCAUGGACGCCGACUGCAAGACGACUCCUCUGCUGCCUGCGAGUGUGACCGCGGCCAAGAAGGCGACGGCCUCUCGCCCGACUCCGUUCCCGGAUGCUGUCCGGCUGGUCAGCAUCUGGGCGCUCUCCACCGCCUGCUUCUUCCUCGUCUCCUUCGCAAUCUCCUGCGCAGUUGCCUACGCACUCGACCAGGUAACAACUCCGAUCCGUCUACGUACGUACUUAAUUUCCCUUGGAUGCCGGACAUUCCCACCGAUCCAAGUUCGUGUUCGUCUGCCGUGCGUCUGCGCCGAGCCGACAGACGCGGACGGUGACGACUUCAUCGCGCUGGUGUACUUGCCUGCGGCUCAGGCGGCCGCGGCAGCGCUGGCGCUGCUGCUCCCAGGCCGCCACCGCCGUGCCCUCGCGUGCCUCGCGCUCGCGGUCGCCAUCGUCGGCCAUUAUAUGUUGGUCGCCGGCGCCCUCCGGUUGCUCUUCGCCCCCGUCGCCGACCCUGGGCAAGGAUACAUGGUCGCCCUCGACAUCCUUGCCAGGAUCGGCUGGGUCGUGGGCAUCGUCAUCUUUCCGGCGGGCGACCUCGUCAGUUUCCUCUUCCUGGCCCUCUCCUUCUGCGCUUCUGGGAAGUGA